AUGUUGCUAAACUCUACGUUAGCUCAUUCUAUGUUACCUCACUCUAUGUUGCUAAACUCUACGUUAGUUCACUCUAUGUUUCUAAGCUCUACGUUGCUAAAUUCUACGUUAUCUCACUUCACGUUGCUAAACUCUAUGUUAGCUCACUACGCUGCUACACUCUACGUUACCGCACUUCACGUUGCUAAACUCUACUUUAGGUCACUCCACGUUGCUAAACUCUACGUUAGCUCAUUCUAUGUUAGCUCACUCUAUGUUGCUAAACUCUACGUUAGCUCACUCUACGUUGCUAAACUCUACUUUAGCUCACUUCACGUUGGUGCAGAACUUCAAUUAAUUAAUUAUUUUUUGUGUAACGUUUUACUAAUUCAAUCGCCGCAAAACGUACUUAAAAUGCCGCUCGACGGUUACCGCUCGUCUGCAAACGUUAGUUCCAUAAUAACAUAACGCUUUUUUUUUACUUACCAAGCCUUGAAAAGUUGUGAAAUAGUUGCGUGUGGAGAGCCACCACGGUCCAAGCAGCGGCUCGGAUGAACUCUGCACAUGAGGAAUCCCUAAGCUGAAAAUUAACUCAGCUGAUGAAAGAAGAGACAUUUUAACCUUUAUGUCGGAUCAAAGUACAGCGAAGAAGUUGUAUAAGGGUUAUAAGUAUAAGGCUUGAACAAAGCUACUGCCCCCCCUCCCCCACAGCCUGUGCAGAAUUCUGGGAUAGAUGUAAUUAAUCAUAUAUUUAAGACAUUUGGACUUGCUCUAUGUGCACUCUGCCUCUGCAGGCUACAGGUUGGAAGUGGUGACACCACCACCACCAUGUAAAGGAAUUACCAUAUUAAAAAUCUGACUUUAGAACUAAUGCAUGCAGUUUUAUUAAGAAAAAGAAAUUAAUUAAAACUAGGCCUCCCAAUGAGACACAGGUUAUUCCUGUGUGAACCUUGUAAUGGUAAAAUAUGUUAUAACAUACUUAUGCUAAAAUAUGGUAAAUAGUGCAUUGUAUGGAAAAUAAAUUAAACAGUUGAAUGUUGCCAGGAUAGUAUUUAUGUUCUUAAAGCUGCUAUUAUUAUUUUCUCCUGACAGAAUUUCUGCUUUGGUCUUUGUACACCAGGACACCGAGGAAAGCCAGCAAGGGUUACGUUAGCACUGAUCUUACAUCUUCAUGUUGAUCAGUCUUUUUCUGAUGCAAACCUAAAAUCAUUAUCAUCCAAACUCUUUCCAACGGUGAACCUUUAUCGCUGCUCCCAAUUCGGCCUCGGUCGUAACUCAAUUACCUCAGUCCAGCCGUGCAGAUAGUUAUCCGUCUUUGAGAUUUCUGCUGUCGUCCCAGUGCAUGAAUGGAAAUUGGUUAGAAAUUACAUUUUAAAAAUUCAUAAGCAAUUUUUCUUCCCUGAAUAUAUGUUUUUCUGUGAACAUGGACUAUGUUUAUGGUAAGAGGUGAAAGUGGAAAGUCAUAGUAAAUCAGUUGUAAAAAUAGGAAGUAAUACUCAUCUGACGGAUGGGCACAACAAAAAAGUCUGAUAGAGCAGCGGUUCAAACCACAAAGUAUUUUAUUCCAAUAAAUUUUCCAGAUGAGUUUCACUUCCUGUUACAAAUACAAAACAUUACGGGAAGUACACUUGUUUGCAGUUUAACUCAAUCACAUGAAAACGUUGUUUAUCGUGUGCGUCCAGCACAACAGUAAGAGUACAGUAUUGAGAGUUUAGUCCACUUUUGAUUAAAGACAGUGGAACAAAUAUUAUUUGUUCACAGCAGAGAGAAAGUAAAAACUCACAAAAAAGUAAAGACACAAAAUACAUCUUCAGAAAAAAAGCAAAGCUGAGUAUAGAUAAAAUGGACAAGCUUUGUAUUCAUCAAUACGCCGUAAUUUAAAACGAAUGAAGGAAUCUUCCUUCACUCGUUGCUGAGAUUGUUGUCUGUCGACUGGCUUGUCUGAGUCCCUUGGU
ensembl:lncRNA